CCUACGGGAGGCAGCAGUGGGGAAUAUUGCACAAUGGGGGAAACCCUGAUGCAGCGACGCCGCGUGAGCGAUGAAGUAUUUCGGUAUGUAAAGCUCUAUCAGCAGGGAAGAAAAUGACGGUACCUGACUAAGAAGCCCCGGCUAACUACGUGCCAGCAGCCGCGGUAAUACGUAGGGGGCAAGCGUUAUCCGGAUUUACUGGGUGUAAAGGGUGCGUAGGUGGUUUGGCAAGUUGGUAGCGAAACUCCGGGGCUCAACCUCGGCACUACUACCGAAACUGUUGGACUUGAGUGCAGGAGGGGCAAAUGGAAUUCCUAGUGUAGCGGUGGAAUGCGUAGAUAUUAGGAGGAACACCAGUGGCGAAGGCGAUUGGCUGGACUGUAACUGACACUGAGGCACGAAAGCGUGGGGAGCAAACAGGAUUAGAUACCCCAGUAGUC
rnacentral:rRNA from 1 species